UACGUAGGUGGCGAGCGUUGUCCGGAUUUACUGGGCGUAAAGGGAGCGUAGGCGGAUUUUUAAGUGAGAUGUGAAAUACUCGGGCUCAACUUGAGUGCUGCAUUUCAAACUGGAAGUCUAGAGUGCAGGAGAGGAGAAUGGAAUUCCUAGUGUAGCGGUGAAAUGCGUAGAGAUUAGGAAGAACCCCAGUGGCGAAGGCGAUUCUCUGGACUGUAACUGACGCUGAGGCUCGAAAGCGUGGGGAGCAAACAGG
rnacentral:rRNA from 1 species